rnacentral:rRNA from 1 species
AUUGAACGCUGGCGGCAUGCCUUACACAUGCAAGUCGAACGGUAACAGGUCUUCGGAUGCUGACGAGUGGCGCACGGGUGAGUAAUACAUCGGAACGUGCCCGAUCGUGGGGGAUAACGAAGCGAAAGCUUUGCUAAUACCGCAUAAGAUCUACGGAUGAAAGCAGGGGACCGCAAGGCCUUGCGCGAACGGAGCGGCCGAUGGCAGAUUAGGUAGUUGGUGGGAUAAAAGCUUACCAAGCCGACGAUCUGUAGCUGGUCUGAGAGGACGACCAGCCACACUGGGACUGAGACACGGCCCAGACUCCUACGGGAGGCAGCAGUGGGGAAUUUUGGACAAUGGGCGAAAGCCUGAUCCGGCCAUGCCGCGUGCAGGAUGAAGGCCUUCGGGUUGUAAACUGCUUUUGUACGGAACGAAAAGACUCUUUCUAAUAAAGAGGGUCCAUGACGGUACCGUAAGAAUAAGCACCGGCUAACUACGUGCCAGCAGCCGCGGUAAAAC